GGAGAGAUGACCGAGAGGCUGAAGGUGCACGCCUGGAAAGCGUGUGUGCCCGAAAGGGUACCGAGGGUUCGAAUCCCUCUCUCUCCGCCA
rnacentral:tRNA from 1 species